UCUGGCGGCUGUAGCGCGGUGGUCCCACCUGACCCCAUGCCGAACUCAGAAGUGAAACGCCGUAGCGCCGAUGGUAGUGUGGGGUCUCCCCAUGCGAGAGUAGGGAACUGCCAG
rnacentral:rRNA from 1 species